rnacentral:rRNA from 1 species
GGAACGAGUUAUCUGACCUUCGGGGGAACGAUAACGGCGUCGAGCGGCGGACGGGUGAGUAAUGCCUAGGAAAUUGCCUUGAUGUGGGGGAUAACCAUUGGAAACGAUGGCUAAUACCGCACUAAGUGCCUACGGGCCAAAGAGGGGGACCUUCGGGCCUCGUCGCGUCAAGAUAUGCCUAGGUGGGUAUUAGCUAGUUGGUGAGGUAAUGGCUCACCAAGGCGACGAUCCCUAGCUGGUCUGAGAGGAUGAUCAGCCACACUGGAACUGAGACACGGUCCAGACUCCUACGGGAGGCAGCAGUGGGGAAUAUUGCACAAUGGGCGCAAGCCUGAUGCAGCCAUGCCGCGUGUAUGAAGAAGGCCUUCGGGUUGUAAAGUACUUUCAGCAGUGAGGAAGGCGGUGUCGUUAAUAGCGGCAUCUCUUGACGUUAGCUGCAGAAGAAGCACCGGCUAACUCCGUGCCAGCAGCCGCGGUAAUACGGAGGGUGCGAGCGUUAAUCGGAAUUACUGGGCGUAAAGCGCAUGCAGGUGGUUUGUUAAGUCAGAUGUGAAAGCCCGGGGCUCAACCUCGGAACUGCAUUUGAAACUGGCAAACUAGAGUACUGUAGAGGGGGGUAGAAUUUCAGUGUAGCGGUGAAAUGCGUAGAGAUCUGAAGGAAUACCAGUGGCGAACGCGGCCCCCUGGACAGAUACUGACACUCAGAUGCGAAAGCGUGGGGAGCAAACA